UACGUAGGGUGCGAGCGUUGUCCGGAAUUAUUGGGCGUAAAGAGCUUGUAGGCGGUUUGUCGCGUCUGCCGUGAAAAUUCGAGGCUCAACCUCGAGCUUGCAGUGGGUACGGGCAGACUAGAGUGCGGUAGGGGAGACUGGAAUUCCUGGUGUAGCGGUGAAAUGCGUAGAGAUCCGGAGGAACCCCAGAGGCGAAGGCGGCGCCCUGGCUCGCAACUGACGCUCAGACACGACAGCAUGGGGAGCGAACGGG
rnacentral:rRNA from 1 species